AGAGUUUGAUCCUGGCUCAGGAUGAACGCUGGCGGCGUGCCUAACACAUGCAAGUCGAACGGAACUGAUUUAAAGAUUCUCUUCGAGAUGAUUUGUUUAGUUUAGUGGCGGACGGGUGAGUAACGCGUGAGUAACCUGCCCUUCAGAGGGGGAUAACGUUUUUGAAAAAGACGCUAAUACCGCAUAACAUAUAUAUGCCGCAUGACAGAUAUAUCAAAAACUCAGGUGCUGAAGGAUGGACUCGCGUCCGAUUAGAUAGUUGGAGAGGUAACGGCUCCCAAGUCGACGAUCGGUAGCCGGACUGAGAGGUUGAACGGCCACAUUUGGGACUGAGACACGGCCCAGACUCCUACGGGAGGCAGCAGUGGGGAUAUUGCGCAAUGGGGAAACCCUGACGCAGCAACGCCGCGUGGAUGAAGACGGUUUCGGAUUGUAAAGUCCUUUCUUGGGACGAAUUCUGACGGUACCCAAGGAAUAAGCUCCGGCUAACUACGUGCC
rnacentral:rRNA from 1 species